UAAGGAAUAUUGGUCAAUGGACGCAAGUCUGAACCAGCCAUGCCGCGUGAAGGAUGAAGGUCCUCUGGAUUGUAAACUUCUUUUAUCUGGGACGAAAACGGGAUUUUUAUCUCAAUUGACGGUACCAGAGGAAUAAGCACCGGCUAACUCCGUGCCAGCAGCCGCGGUAAUACGGAGGGUGCGAGCGUUAUCCGGAUUUACUGGGUUUAAAGGGUGCGUAGGUGGGCUUAUAAGUCAGUGGUGAAAUCUCCGAGCUUAACUUGGAAACUGCCGUUGAUACUAUAGGUCUUGAAUUAUCUGGAGNUAAGCGGAAUAUGUCCUGUAGCGGUGAAAUGCUUAGAUAUGACAUAGAACACCAAUUGCGAAGGCAGCUUACUACAUAUAAAUUGACGCUGAGGCACGAAAGCGUGGGGAUCAAACA
rnacentral:rRNA from 1 species